GACGAACGCUGGCGGCGUGCUUAACACAUGCAAGUCGAACGGAAAGGCUUCUUCGGAGGUACUCGAGUGGCGAACGGGUGAGUAACACGUGGGCAAUCUGCCCUGCACUUCGGGAUAAGCCUGGGAAACUGGGUCUAAUACCGGAUAGGACCUCAAGACGCAUGUCUUCUGGUGGAAAGCUUUUGCGGUGUGGGAUGGGCCCGCGGCCUAUCAGCUUGUUGGUGGGGUGACGGCCUACCAAGGCGACGACGGGUAGCCGGCCUGAGAGGGUGUCCGGCCACACUGGGACUGAGAUACGGCCCAGACUCCUACGGGAGGCAGCAGUGGGGAAUAUUGCACAAUGGGCGCAAGCCUGAUGCAGCGACGCCGCGUGGGGGAUGACGGCCUUCGGGUUGUAAACCUCUUUCACCAUCGACGAAGGUCCGGGUUUUCUCGGAUUGACGGUAGGUGGAGAAGAAGCACCGGCCAACUACGUGCCAGCAGCCGCGGUAAUACGUAGGGUGCGAGCGUUGUCCGGAAUUACUGGGCGUAAAGAGCUCGUAGGUGGUUUGUCGCGUUGUUCGUGAAAUCUCACGGCUUAACUGUGAGCGUGCGGGCGAUACGGGCAGACUAGAGUACUGCAGGGGAGACUGGAAUUCCUGGUGUAGCGGUGGAAUGCGCAGAUAUCAGGAGGAACACCGGUGGCGAAGGCGGGUCUCUGGGCAGUAACUGACGCUGAGGAGCGAAAGCGUGGGGAGCGAACAGGAUUAGAUACCCUGGUAGUCCACGCCGUAAACGGUGGGUACUAGGUGUGGGUUUCCUUCUUUGGGAUCCGUGCCGUAGCUAACGCAUUAAGUACCCCGCCUGGGGAGUACGGCCGCAAGGCUAAAAUUCAAAGGAAUUGACGGGGGCCCGCACAAGCGGCGGAGCAUGUGGAUUAAUUCGAUGCAACGCGAAGAACCUUACCUGGGUUUGACAUGCACAGGACGCGUCUAGAGAUAGGCGUUCCCUUGUGGCCUGUGUGCAGGUGGUGCAUGGCUGUCGUCAGCUCGUGUCGUGAGAUGUUGGGUUAAGUCCCGCAACGAGCGCAACCCUUGUCUCAUGUUGCCAGCGGGUAAUGCCGGGGACUCGUGAGAGACUGCCGGGGUCAACUCGGAGGAAGGUGGGGAUGACGUCAAGUCAUCAUGCCCCUUAUGUCCAGGGCUUCACACAUGCUACAAUGGCCGGUACAAAGGGCUGCGAUGCCGUAAGGUUAAGCGAAUCCUUUUAAAGCCGGUCUCAGUUCGGAUUGGGGUCUGCAACUCGACCCCAUGAAGUCGGAGUCGCUAGUAAUCGCAGAUCAGCAACGCUGCGGUGAAUACGUUCCCGGGCCU
rnacentral:rRNA from 1 species